UGGGUCAGUCCCAAAGGGCGCGAUACAGCGAGGUCCCUGCUGCCUUGGGGUGGAAACACAGAGAGAGAGGAGAGAAAUUAAAGAUAAAGGUGAAAAAAAGCCAAUUCCGGUUUGUACCUGAAAUCGAGGGAAAGCGAUAUAUCUACCCAGCGAGCAUAAAAACACUUAAGGACAAGAUUGAAGGCUUUCCGAGAGAUCUGGACAGAAGUCAAAGCUAUCACUCGGAGGCUUGUUCCAAAUACCAAGAGAGAAAGAGAGAAGAAUAGAAGCGCACAGAUGCCCCGACGAAGGGAGAACAGCUCUGCUCCCAUUGUUGUGGAGUUAAACAGUGGAAGGGAGGGUUAACCUAAUCCAUCAAAUUGUCUGGAAAUUGUGAAGAAAAUUCAAAAACCAUAUGGUCUCCAAGCGCUCGCCUUCUCUCUGCUGCGGAGGGGCACGCUUGUUUCAGCAUGGCGAACCGCAGGAGGCUGUAUAUGCUCCAUUGUCGCUUGUCACUUCAGAGAAGAGGGCUCAUUUGUCCCCAGUUUUCAUGCUUUACGCUAAAAAUUACAACCCCAUCCAUUCUCAAAGAGGAGAAAGAUUUAUUUAGCCUCGGAGAAACUGGACCAAAAAAAAAAAAAGGAAAAA